UUUGUUUUUGUCUGUGU
rnacentral:sRNA from 1 species